GUAGUUGGAUUCACAUCAAUCCAUAUGUGUUGAGGUGGAUUAGAGUGGAAUUUAAUUCAAGUUUCAUUCCAAUCCAUCUCAAUACAUGUGGAUUGAUGUGAAUCCGACU
rfam:Sorghum bicolor cultivar BTx623 chromosome 6, whole genome shotgun sequence.